CCUACGGGUGGCAGCAGUGGGGAAUAUUGCACAAUGGGGGAAACCCUGAUGCAGCGAAGCCGCGUGAGUGAAGAAGUAUUUCGGUAUGUAAAGCUCUAUCAGCAGGGAAGAAGCAAGACGGUCCCUGACUAAGAAGCCCCGGCCAACUACGUGCCAGCAGCCGAGGUCAUCCGCGGGGGGCAAGGGUUUUCCGGAUUUACUGGGUGUAACGGGAGCGUAGACGGUAUUGAAAGUCGGAAGUGAAAGUCCGGGGCGUAACCCAGGGACUGCGUUGCAAACGGUUGGACUCGGUUGCUGGAAAGGGAGGUGAAAGUGCGGGUGAGGCGGUAAAAUGCGUAGAUAUUAGGAGGAACACCAGUGGCAAGGGCGGCUUACGGGACAGUAACGGACGUUGGGGCUGAAAGGCGUGGGGAGCAAACGGAAU
rnacentral:rRNA from 1 species